CAGAGAUGGAUUGGUGCCUUCGGGAAUUUUGAUACAGGUGCUGCAUGGCUGUCGUCAGCUCGUGUCGUGAGAUGUUGGGUUAAGUCCCGCAACGAGCGCAACCCUUUUCCUUAUUUGCCAGCACUUCGGGUGGGAACUUUAAGGAUACUGCCAGUGACAAACUGGAGGAAGGCGGGGAGGAGGUCAAGUCAUCAUGGCCCUUACGGCCAGGGCUACACACGUGCUACAAUGGUCGGUACAAAGGGUUGUUACUGCGCGAGCAGAUGCUAAUCUCAAAAAGCCGAUCGUAGUCCGGAUCGCAGUCUGCAACUCGACUGCGUGAAGUCGGAAUCGCUAGUAAUCGCGGAUCAGAAUGCCGCGGUGAAUACGUUCCCGGGCCUUGUACACACCGCCCGUCACACCAUGGGAGUUUGUUGCACCAGAAGUAGGUAGUCU
rnacentral:rRNA from 1 species